GACGUUGCCUCAGCCAUUU
rnacentral:snRNA from 1 species